GGCGUUUGGUCAGUAAUCCAUAAUGUUCACUAUUAGUUGUCAAUAUGAUGUUCUUCCCCUUGAGAUAAUAGUGACAAAAAAACACAAAAGAGCAAAAGGUGUGCUAUAUCUUCGCAUGAAGAUUCACUAAAUUACUGUUAGCUUUAACUUGAAAAGCAAAAGAGAAACAGGGAAUAAAAAAAAUGAAACUGUCUCCAUGUAGGUGUAAUCUUUUGCACAUCAAAAACCAAAGCAAAUAAUUCAUGUUUCCAUGUCUCCACUAGUAGAAAUCGCACAAACAAAAGCAGCUCUUGAGAAAAUUGCAAACUAUCUACCCAUCUUCAUCAUAAUCUUCACAUUUGCACUCAUCUUCAUUUUUAGUUUUAUCCACACCUUGAGCUUCAUCAUCAUCAUCUUCUUCUUCUUCUUCUUCUUCUUCUUCUUCACCAUCACGAUCAAGAUCAUUAUGACCAUUAAGAUCACGAUUAUGUUCUCCGCUUUUUGCCGCAUAUUCUUCAAGUGAUGCAGAGGGAAACAAAUCGCCAACCUUGUUUGCUUCAUUGGUUACAGUUUUUGCUGUACUCUUUGUUGUACCUUUGUUCAUAGCACGUAGAAGAGUCCUCCGAUCUCUUUCUCUAGCAUUCUUAAUAGCCUCUUCGAGUAUCUUUUGCUCGGCCUCUACUUCAGCAGAAUCUCUUCCAAUUAUCUGGUUCACGCAGCAACAACACUUUGCACAAACAUUUUGCUCCUUUGCACAAGCAGAACAUAAAUUAUGGUAAGCCUGACGGACUGCACGUUUAGAGCAUCGUUGACAUUUGGCAGGCUCAGAGAGGGGCUUGUAUUUGCCGUAACGGCGUUUCCAAUCGAUCUGUUCUUUACAGCGAGGGCACACCCCGGUGAUCUCCGAGUAUGGUCUGAGCUUCCCUCCAACUUCCGUUUCGUUGAUUUUGUGGCCGGCUUUGGGUUUCCAUGCGUACCGGUUUUGGUGCUUCGGCGGACCCUGCCUCUUGCUCAUCUUGCCGCGCCGCUGCCUCCAGUCCACAGCUCAGGUUCUUCAGCCCCUAACAAAC
rnacentral:misc_RNA from 1 species